rnacentral:misc_RNA from 1 species
UCAGGUUUAGGAUUCAUGUCUACUAUUUCAGGUUUAGGGUUCAUGUCUCUUAUUUCAGGUUUAGGGUUCAUGUCUCCUAUUUCAGGUUUAGGAUUUAUGUCUGCUAUUGCUAGAGUUGGAUCUAUUCUCGCUCCUUUCAUUGUCAUGGCAGGAGAAACUUCACCAGGCAUUCAGUUUACAGUGUUCGGGAUUCUAGGAUUAACUGGGGGGAUUCUAAGUCUCUUGCUGCCAGAAACCCAGGAUAGACCACUACCGGAAACUAUACCUGAUAUGAUGGUGGAAAAGAGCCGGAAAAUCAGUGUUAUGAAUUUAUAGCAAAAUUCAUAUUUCAUCUUUUUUGCUGUUUUAGAAAUUGUAUUUCUUUUUGAUAUUUUUUUUUUUUCGUAAAUUUUUACAAAACCUAAGUCAUACAUCUGAUAUUAAAUGUUGUAAACCUUUUUAACACUCAACAGGCCUAUUUAGUUUUUAUUAUAAUGUUUGUUAAACUCUAGAUGUGCUAAAAAGGGACUGACAUGGACAUUGGACAUUUUUAGUAAUCAUUUAUUUAAAGACAGUCAUCAUGGUUCACAACAAUACCCUGGUAACUUUUAUCUAAAGAGCAAUCAAAAUUUGGAACAUAAAACUUUUAAAGAGACAUUGUGGAUAUCAAGAUCAUUUUCCCGAUCAGUCAAAAUUGUGAAGAGAUCACUUGAAAUACACCUGCACAGUUCCAUAAUUAGAAACAAAUAUACUAGUCUCUUCUUUUUUGAUCAUUACACCCUAUUGUACAUUUUUUUUAAUUAUGCUUUUUUAAGUUGUUUAUAUAUUUCAUAGAAUAUUCUUCCCCCUUCCUAAGGUUUAAAAAUUUAAUAAAAUUGCUUUUAAUAUUAGUGCUUUCCUACUUUCUUGGCAAAUUUCUUGAGAAUAAAAGUUGGGAAUUAUUUUUGAAAUGUAUAAACCCCUUAUAGAUUGUUUCCAAGGCCUAAAGCUGUGCUUCACUGUGAUAUAUUUUAUUCUAAAUAAUUCUAAGCAGAAAUUACAAUUCGAAAUUUUACUUAAAUUUUAUAGUUUGAAUGGGCUAAUAGAUGCUAAUAAAUUUAAUUAAAAAUGG